CCGGGGCAAAGCCAGACCGGGGUAAAUACGGAGGGGGGGAGCGUUAAUUCGGAAUUUCUGGGGGUAAAGCGCAUGCAGGUUGGUUUGUUAAGUCAGAUGUGAAAGCCCGGGGCUCAACCUCGGAAUUGCAUUUGAAACUGGCAAACUAGAGUACUGUAGAGGGGGGUAGAAUUUCAGGUGUAGCGGUGAAAUGCGUAGAGAUCUGAAGGAAUACCGGUGGCGAAGGCGGCCCCCUGGACAGAUACUGACACUCAGAUGCGAAAGCGUGGGGAGCAAACAGGAUUAGAUACCCUGGUAGUCCACGCCGUAAACGAUGUCUACUUGGAGGUUGUGGCCUUGAGCCGUGGCUUUCGGAGCUAACGCGUUAAGUAGACCGCCUGGGGAGUACGGUCGCAAGAUUAAAACUCAAAUGAAUUGACGGGGGCCCGCACAAGCGGUGGAGCAUGUGGUUUAAUUCGAUGCAACGCGAAGAACCUUACCUACUCUUGACAUCUACAGAAGCCAGCGGAGACGCAGGUGUGCCUUCGGGAACUGUAAGACAGGUGCUGCAUGGCUGUCGUCAGCUCGUGUUGUGAAAUGUUGGGUUAAGUCCCGCAACGAGCGCAACCCUUAUCCUUGUUUGCCAGCACUUCGGGUGGGAACUCCAGGGAGACUGCCGGUGAUAAACCGGAGGAAGGUGGGGACGACGUCAAGUCAUCAUGGCCCUUACGAGUAGGGCUACACACGUGCUACAAUGGCGCAUACAGAGGGCGGCCAACUUGCGAAAGUGAGCGAAUCCCAAAAAGUGCGUCGUAGUCCGGAUUGGAGUCUGCAACUCGACUCCAUGAAGUCGGAAUCGCUAGUAAUCGUGGAUCAGAAUGCCACGGUGAAUACGUUCCCGGGCCUUGUACACACCGCCCGUCACACCAUGGGAGUGGGCUGCAAAAGAAGUGGGUAGUUUAACCUUCGGGAGGACGCUCACCACUUUGUGGUUCAUGACUGGGGGGAAGUCGUAACAAGGUAACCG
rnacentral:rRNA from 1 species